rnacentral:misc_RNA from 1 species
GAUGAAGAACGUAGCGAAAUGCGAUAAGUAAUGUGAAUUGCAGAAUUCAGUGAAUCAUCGAAUCUUUGAACGCACAUUGCGCCCGGUAGUAUUCUGCCGGGCAUGCCUGUUCGAGCGUCAUUUCAACCAUCAAGCCCCAGCGCUUGUGUUGGGGGCCUGCGGCUGCCGCAGCCCCCUAAAAGCAGUGGCGGGCUCGCUAUCACACCGAGUGCAGUAGUUCAUCUUCUCUCCGGUCUUGUGAGGCGGGUUCCGGCCGUGAAACACCCCACUACAUUCAAGGUUGACCUCGGAUCAGGUAGGAAUACCCGCUGAACUUAAGCAUAUCAAUAAGCGGAAGA